GGGCGGGUAGUCUAGAUAGCUACCUAGAUUGGUAUGAUACCUGGCUCGGGACCAGGUGGUCGUGGGUUCAAGUCCCAUCCCGCCCA
rnacentral:tRNA from 2 species